ensembl:misc_RNA 7SK 7SK RNA
GAAUGUGAGGAGGCUCUGGCUGGGGCAUCUGUCACCCCAUUGAUCUCCAGGGUUGAUUCAGCUGAUCCGGCUGGCUAGGCAGGUGUCCUCUUCCUCCCUCCCCGCUCCAUGUGUGUCCCUCCCAAAGCUGCAUGCUCGGUCAAAGAGGACAACCACCCCCAUAGAGGAGGACCGUUUCCUUGGUUGAGGGUAUACAAGUGUCUGUGCUCCCCUGCUGGAACCUCCAAAGAAGCUCUCAAAUAAACCUUUACUCUUUAUAAAUUAGUUAUUUCAAAUAUUUUCUAUAGUGAUGGGGAGCUGAAUAACAUUGAUAGACUUGAGAGUCAGGCAGGAUUGAAUAU